GGUAGAGAGAGCCCGAUCCCCGUGGGAUCGGUGUUGGCGGGCAUCCGGUGCCGGCGGACAUCCGACCCAUGAGGAAAGUCCCCCCACCGUUCGGACAGGUGACCGGGCACAAGCCCGGAGUCGGAGACGGCUGGCGCUGGAACAGCAACGAGACCCCCUGUCCCAACCGAUGAUGUGUGCGAACCAACCCGUAAGGGAAGGGAGAUAACCCACAGAGGGUGUGGUGCCAUACACCACAAAACGGGCAGGAACGGAUGGAACGGCGAAUCCUCACCGGUGCAAGGUCGCGUCAGGCGGGCGGUCGUCUGCGCCGUGUAGCCGGCUGACCGCCGAGGUAGUCCGAACACGACGUGGCCGCUCAGCCGAAUGUCGGGUCGAAACAGAAGGGGGCUUACUCCUCUCAACC
rnacentral:RNase_P_RNA from 2 species